rnacentral:misc_RNA from 1 species
GAUGAAGAACGCAGCGAAAUGCGAUAAGUAGUGUGAAUUGCAGAAUUCAGUGAAUCAUCGAAUCUUUGAACGCACAUUGCGCCCCUUGGUAUUCCAUGGGGCAUGCCUGUUCGAGCGUCAUCUACACCCUCAAGCUCUGCUUGGUGUUGGGCGUCUGUCCCGCCCCCGCGCGUGGACUCGCCCCAAAUCCAUUGGCAGCGUUCCUUGCCCCCUCUCGCGCAGCACAUUGCGCUUCUCGAGGGCGGCUCCGGGACGCGAUCCAGCAAGAUGACCACCGUCUUUGACCUCGGAUCAGGUAGGGAUACCCGCUGAACUUAAGCAUAUCAAUAAGCGGAGGA